ACAGAGUUGGCAGAGUGGCUUAUCGCACUGGCUUUAUAACCCAGCGAGGGGAAACCCUCCACAGGUUCGAAUCCUGUACUCUCCG
rnacentral:tRNA from 1 species